GUCCACGCCGUAAACGGUGGGCACUAGGUGUGGGUCACAUUCCACGUGAUCCGUGCCGUAGCUAACGCAUUAAGUGCCCCGCCUGGGGAGUACGGCCGCAAGGCUAAACUCAAAGGAAUUGACGGGGCCCGCACAAGCGGCGGAGCAUGCGGAUUAAUUCGAUGCAACGCGAAGAACCUUACCUGGGUUUGACAUAUGCCGGAAAGCUGCAGAGAUGUGGCCUCCCUUUGGGCCGGUUUACAGGUGGUGCAUGGCUGUCGU
rnacentral:rRNA from 1 species